CAGAGUGACUAGCUACUGAAUCAUAUAUAUGAUGUCGUAAGGGAAAAUUAUGAUACUACCUUACUAAUAGUGUCGUCCAAAACUAGUGCCAGAAGACUCGGUAAGGCCAGAGACACAAACGUUAAUCGUCUUAAUCAGGCGUAAAGGGUUUGUAGGCUGCUUUGAGAAUAUUCAUUUAAUAUAGCUUUUACUAUAUGAAUAUCAAUUAAAGCUAGAAUCUAAUAGAGGAUAUUUAAGAUAUAAUGCUUGGUAGAGGGCCGAUAUCCUGAGACACCAAGUGGAGUACUAAUAGCAUAGGCAAUUAUCCAUUAAAGAUUGACGCUGAGAAACGAAGGUGAGGGUAGGAAAUAGGAUUAGAUACCCAGAUACUCCUCUCUGUAAACGAUGAAUGGUAGUUUUUUAGUCUAAAGGAGACUAGUGACGAAGUUAACACGUUAACCAUUCCGCCUUGUGAGUACGACUGCAAAGUUGAAAACAAAAAAAUUAGUCGGUCUCGGAGCAAACGAAGUGAAGUAUGUUAUUUAAUUCGUUAAAUCCGCA
rnacentral:rRNA from 1 species